UGAGGAAUCUUGCGCAAUGGGGGAAACCCUGACGCAGCAACGCCGCGUGAGUGAGGAAGGCCUUCGGGUCGUAAAGCUCUGUCAGAUGGGAAGAAAUGGGUGGGGGCUAAUAUCGUCCACCCUUGACGGUACCAUCAGAGGAAGCACCGGCUAACUCCGUGCCAGCAGCCGCGGUAAUACGGGGGGUGCAAGCGUUGUUCGGAAUCAUUGGGCGUAAAGCGCGCGCAGGCGGCUUGGUGAGUCAGAUGUGAAAUCCCUGGGCUUAACCCAGGAAGUGCAUUUGAUACUGCCUCGCUAGAGUGCGGGAGAGGAAAGUGGAAUUCCUGGUGUAGAGGUGAAAUUCGUAGAUAUCAGGAGGAACACCGGUGGCGAAGGCGACUUUCUGGCCCGAUACUGACGCUCAGGCGCGAAAGCGUGGGGAGCAAACAG
rnacentral:rRNA from 1 species